rnacentral:ncRNA from 2 species
GGAUGAACCCUUGGAGAGACUCGAAAUAGAGCACCGAAGGAGCAAACCGCAAGGCGAAACUCUCAGGUAAAAGGACAGGGGAUAGGUA